AUAUCGACUAUAUUCGAUUUCAGUUCGAUAUUUAAUUCUAACUCUGUUGUUUACAAGCAAAUUUUUGCGUUUAUGAGAAUUUGGCGUGAGAAGUGGCCUAGUUGGUUUGUUAUGAGUGUUAGUUAGUGUUCAUGGAAAACGUAAAUUACGAAAAGAGCCCUAAAGAUUAUAUGGGUGAACAGUCUGCAGAGGAUGAUUUGGCCGCCGUUACUGCGAGGACGUUAAAUGACAUUUUAAUGGAAGAUCCAUUAAUGUGCGAUUUGCCCAAGAAUGUGACUUUGGAAGAGGUUAAUUCGCAAAUUGCGCUACAACAAGGACAGUCAAUUACAGUGUUUAUCGACAGGCAUAAUGAAACUACGGUACCAGUUGUGGUGCCACAAAGAGGCUCAACUGUUUUGGAUUUGAAGAGAGCUUUUCGCCGAAACAUGUCAUUAAAGCUUGCCCGAGAGAAGAUAUACACCAAAAUCAGUUGGCGCUAUGUUUGGAAAAAUAAUUGGCUGUAUUUUGAAGGUCAGAAACUGAAAAGUGACAGUGAUUUGUUGGAAGACUUGGGAAUAUGGAAUAAAUGUCAUGUUAGUUUUAUCAAACGACUAAGGGAAAAGGGGAUAAAGAACUGACAGUAUUUGCUGAUGCAAAUAAGUGAUCUCACAGUAUAAACAUUUUGUCACAUUGUACUAUCUUACAAUUUUUUUUUAAAUACCUGUUCACUACAUACAAAGAUUGUUGUAGUACAAUGCAAUGUGGUCACAGAAAAUAAAUCGAUCCUUCUUUAUAGAAA